CGCGAUUUCCCAAACCAGGCCUUACUUUUUCUUAACUGUACGCCCAUUUCUUUCUUUGCUGCCUCACUAUGUCUUUCUUAUGUUUAUGGAUGAACAGUGACAACAGCAAGAAAAAGUAAGGCCUGGGAACGAGGCUAGUAGGAGAGAGGGAUUGGAAACGGAAGUGGGCCUCGGAAAACAUCCGCGCCUCGCUUUCUUGUCUUCUUUUCUUGCCUCAAAUGAGGAAAACUCAUUGCAUAAGCGGUGAAAGAAUAGGGAAAGAGACACAAUCAACAGUGCAUUGGUACAUGGUAAUAGUAAGGAGAAUGUGCAGAGCUAGUGGUAUUGGAUACUUUUUUCACAGUAGAUAUAAAAUCAUCAGAGGAUGCUUAGUUCCCUGAAAUUGUGAAUGUAUUUGUGACUGUCAGAGGCUUCUCUUUUGCUGCCAACUUAAUUAAAUGAAAAAAAAAACCAUCAAGAAGUCCACUAGUUUGAGGCAAUAACCAUGAUCAUUCAUACGACAAGAUACAUAAUACACCAUGUAACUUUCUUAAUUAUUGUUUUCACUUUUGAUGAAUCAAUUGUACGAAGUUUCUAUAUAAUAAUACUAGGCUGGUGAGCGUACAUUUCAAUUUCCAAUUCAUUAAGUAUAAUUACAUACACUUGGAGACAGCAAAACACUCCACAGCACUGCCAGUUGCUUUCUAAGUGUAAAACGAGUGGGAUCAAACCAAACAACAUUAACAAAAACAUACACGAUAAAAAUGAUUAUUACAGCUAUAAUUAUGAUUAGUUUAGCACUCUAAUCAGACAGUCUUAGAUGGAGAGAAGCUGGUGAGGUAUACAAGGGUGUAUAUAUAGCCGGAACAGCCGAUAACAUUUACGAGGGCGGUGACGUAUAGGGUGUAGAGAGGAGGGGUAUUCUUCUGUCUUCUUUUCUUCAGCGUACUCAGUAAGUUUUGGCUUGCGAGGUAUUGCUAUAUAAAAUAUAGAUGAAACAGCAUUUGUAGUAGUUAAAUAUCUCGGGCCUACAGGCCCUUCACCACAAUCUAACUACCGGGCCAAUAACAAUUAUGAGGUAAAAAUAGGUGACUACACAUUCAUGCACACAAAAGCUAUACAUCCACCUAAUCCAAAACUAAUGCUCUUGUGGUGAUCACCAAUCAUAAGGGAAUGUAUGCCUAAAAUUAAAAUUUCUGUAACGCUUAGCAUAUUCCCAAAAAAGGGAUCUUUAGUGGUGCUCUUUAAUUCAACUUUUUUCUAGCACUAAAUUCUACCAGCUGAUGUAUGACUAAUUUUCUUUGGCUUGGGGUGAUACCACAUGAUUUACCAACAAGCAUAUUGAAGUAUACUACCUAAACAUUAAUCAUUUCAGAGAAAAAGGGAUAAAUGUGUACAAUACAAGAUUAAACUUACCUAAAUUCAAUGAAGAAGAUAGUUGCAACGGUAAAUAGAGCUUGAAUAAUGGUUAUUCACUAUCUAUAUAAAGCACAGUUGCACUGGAUACUGGAAAACUUGACAGAAUAGAUCUACUAGUGACAACUCAUAAAAUCCUAGCCUCUACACAGGCUCUCCUUUUUCUGUUCUUUAUCACAUCUUUCAAUAAGAUAAAAUACUGUCUUAUCGUUCAAUGAGAUAAAAUACGGUAUUAAUUGGAGGAAUAAAGAAAGAAAUAGACGUAGAGUAGGGUUGUUUCCACAAAAAAAAUCUGAUUUCUGAAAAAUGGUGUUUUGAGUGAUUGUGCAUACAAAGCAACUAAAAUAAAGCAGGCAGCCAAAAUUUCGCGUUGAAAUACCUUUUCUUUCUUGCACAAUAGCACCCGUUAACUCUCACCACAACUAUGCGCUUGCAUGCAAUAUUUCCACUCUAAAGAAAGCACACUUCAAAGUUAAAUUUCAAAACUUUUUUUGAAGCAUAGAUAAAGGAAUUUUGUGCUGCAAUUCUACACUUCAAGGCUGUUGAGUCAACAGAAGCCCUCCCCUCAAUGUCUGAAAUGAAAAUUUCAGCCACCCAAGGCCAAGUGGCCUUGUAUGAACUACAACAACAGGUGAAAAAUUUGGUGGAACUUGUCCAAAAACUAAGAACUGAGUUUAGAGAGGUAAAAACGCAGUUGGAAGAGUCACAAGUAGACGUUGAUGGAAUUUGUGACAUUUUAAAGGACAUAACAGGAGUGAACACUUAAUACAACAAUUGCAUGUGUAUACUACACACAUUUCUAUGUAGUCUCUUCUGACUUAAAAUUGCGUUUUUGUUCACAAUAAUUAUUCUGAUUUUUUGUC